UACAGAGGGGGCAAGCGUUAUUCGGAAUUAUUGGGCGUAAAGGGCGCGUAGGCGGCUUUGCAAGUGACGGGUGAAAGCCCUCGGCUUAACCGAGGAACUGCCUGUCAGACUGUGAGGCUUGAGACCGGGAGAGGUGAGUGGAAUUCCCAGUGUAGCGGUGAAAUGCGUAGAUAUUGGGAGGAACACCAGUGGCGAAGGCAGCUCGCUGGGACGGUACUGACGCUGAGACGCGAAAGCGUGGGGAGCAAACAGG
rnacentral:rRNA from 1 species